ncrna:16S Ribosomal RNA from Sus scrofa (PDB 4CE4, chain A)
CCAAGGAAAGAUUAAAAGAAGUAAAAGGAACUCGGCAAACACAAACCCCGCCUGUUUACCAAAAACAUCACCUCUAGCAUUACUAGUAUUAGAGGCAAUGCCUGCCCAGUGACACCAGUUUAACGGCCGCGGUAUUCUGACCGUGCAAAGGUAGCAUAAUCACUUGUUCUCCAAAUAAGGACUUGUAUGAAUGGCCACACGAGGGUUUUACUGUCUCUUACUUCCAAUCAGUGAAAUUAACCUUCCCGUGAAGAGGCGGGAAUAAAAAAAUAAGACGAGAAGACCCUAUGGAGCUUUAAUUAACUAUUCCAAAAGUUAAACAACUCAACCACAAAGGGAUAAAACAUAACUUAACAUGGACUAGCAAUUUCGGUUGGGGUGACCUCGGAGUACAAAAAACCCUCCGAGUGAUUUUAAUCUAGACAAACCAGUCAAAAUAACCAUAACAUCACUUAUUGAUCCAAAAUUUUGAUCAACGGAACAAGUUACCCUAGGGAUAACAGCGCAAUCCUGUUCUAGAGUUCCUAUCGACAAUAGGGUUUACGACCUCGAUGUUGGAUCAGGACACCCAAAUGGUGCAGCCGCUAUUAAAGGUUCGUUUGUUCAACGAUUAAAGUCCUACGUGAUCUGAGUUCAGACCGGAGCAAUCCAGGUCGGUUUCUAUCUAUUAUAAAUUUCUCCCAGUACGAAAGGACAAGAGAAAUGGGACCAACCUCACAAACGCGUCUCAGAGAUAAUUAAUGAUUUAAUCUUAACCUAAUUAACUCAUAAUAAAUCCAGCCCUAGAACAGGGCACA